CAGUUAGCUUGUUGUAGUUAGCAUGUGUUGUCUUAUAGUCCCUCUUGAAAGACAUUGGAAUCUUCAAAAACAGCCUCAGCCUACGGUCCAUUAGGAAGACAGUUUUUUAAUAUUUGACUAAAAAACAUACGGCAGUUUCCACUUGUCCUGGUCAUUAUCAACUUUAGUUUUUUUUUUGCAGUUGACAUUUUAGAAACCAUUUUAGAAACUAGAAAUGUCACAGGACUGUGUUUCGGUGUUGCCACAGGUUUACAACGGCUCAAAAUGUAAUUUAGCCAAUAACAAUCAAGAAAUCGAACCCACAGUUUUUAAAAAAUGCUGGAGGCCUUUUAUUAUUCUUUUUAUGAAAGGAGCCUGGUGCAUAUAUGAAUGUGGGCUGCAUUUUGCCCACCGGCUGGACUUUGGACAUGCCUGAUCUAAACAGUUGUUUAACACCCAGUGGAAUUCGUUUUAAAUAUGCUAAAGUUUCACUUUUGAAUUUUCUGUCUUGUUUGCACAGGAUGGAGGGAAAUCGAGUGACCCACAAAGGUCUGCUGUCACUCAAAAACUUGACCCCAGAGCCUCUAAAAACAGUUGUAGCCAUUUGGAAUGAUUUGUAUAACACAGAUCCAGAGUCUGUAAAUAUCCACGAAAGCAUUACAGUGAAUUUCACAGAUGAUGACAUGUGGGAGGCGUGGGGAGAGUGGGUAUUUAAACGUUGUGAGGUCAGCGGCAAUGAGAAGUUAGUGACGGUGCUCCACAAAGUUUGCAACAUAUCAGCACAAUGCUUAGAAUGUCGGUGGGCAAAGGCUUUCUACAGAAAACUGUCAGAACUCAUCAAGAACAGAAUGGAAAGCUGCGUUGAGGAUGACAUGUGGAAGAAACUCAAAAAGUUUGACAGCCUUUUCAUCUGAUUGGAAAGAGCUGCAAGGAUGUGCAAAUGGGAUGUGUUAUAUGUUGUAUAUGCUUAUAUUUUAGUUUACUGUUUGGUUAAAGUUUUAAAAAGUUAUAUUUAACAUAAUGGGGAUGCUCAAAACACAACAGGGGUUCUUUAUUUUCAGGUUAAAUAUUUUGAUGACAAUUUCUCUUGAGGUAAAGUUUGGUGUCCUGAAGUAUCUUUGAUUAGCUCCACUUAAUCAUAUAGUAGACAUUGCUGCUAUAACUCCAGGAAAACAUCACGUCAAAAAUAUAAACCAUAUAACCUCAGAUAUUAAUACAAAAAACUUUGGCCCGUACGGGGAUCGAACCCGCGACCUUGGCGUUAUUAGCACCACGCUCUAACCAACUGAGCUAACCGGCCAUGAACGGCCCUGAAACACACAGAAACAAAUUGUUACGAGAUCUCGGGAUAUUAAUGUGUUACUAUUUACUAAUAUUAUUAUUGUUGUUUUUUUAACCGUCUUAAUAGGUAGAUUGACCAUGCCACUUAUCGAAACUAGUUACUUGUGUCAAAUAAAGACAUGGUAGCUCAGUUAACACAAAAAAGAGGACAAAAAAA
rnacentral:tRNA from 1 species